rnacentral:tRNA from 1 species
AGGGGUGUAGCUCAGUGGUAGAGCAGCGGCUUCCAACUCCGCGUGCCGGGGGUUCGAUUCCCUCCACCCUUGCCA